GACGAACGCUGGCGGCGUGCUUAACACAUGCAAGUCGAACGGAAAGGCCCUGAUCUUGUGGGGUGCUCGAGUGGCGAACGGGUGAGUAACACGUGAGUAACAUGCCCUUGACUUUGGGAUAACUUCAGGAAACUGGGGCUAAUACCGGAUAGGAGCUCCUGCUGCAUGGUGGGGGAUGGAAAGUUUCGGCGGUUGGGGAUGGACUCGCGGCUUAUCAGCUUGUUGGUGGGGUAGUGGCUUACCAAGGCUUUGACGGGUAGCCGGCCUGAGAGGGUGACCGGCCACAUUGGGACUGAGAUACGGACCAGACUCCUACGGGAGGCAGCAGUGGGGAGUAUUGCGCAAUGGGCGGAAGCCUGAUGCAGCAACGCCGCGUGCGGGAUGACGGCCUUCGGGUUGUAAACCGCUUUCGCCUGUGACGAAGCGUGAGUGACGGUAAUGGGUAAAGAAGCACCGGCUAACUACGUG
rnacentral:rRNA from 1 species